AAAAAAAUAUUGCACCUGUCAAAGAUAGCAGCAGCGCAUCUUGGACACCUCAAUAUGAAGAUUUAAUGCAAAUAUUGUCUCAUGAUGAUUAUCUGCUAAGAGGUCAUUAUUCAUUCAUCCAUCCAUUCUCUUAUUUAUCUUAUUUAUUGAAGUAUUGUGGUAUUGAGCAUCCUACUUUUGUGGUCUAUUAUUGAUGCAUUUACUAGUUUGUUUUCUUAUUUCUGUUAGGCACAGGUGAAAUUAUGCCCAUCACACUGAGGGGGGCAAUGUUUACCAGUGAGUGUGAGUCUUUUUGAAUGUGAGUUGUUCCUUUAACUUUAUUUUUUUAACACCACUCCCAUUGUUAAAGACAAAGAGUUCCUAAUGACUUGCCUGACUGAUUCACUGUACUUUAGUUUCAGUUGAUAGUUUUUCAACACAUUAUGCAGAUGUCUUAGGCAUGAAGUCAUAGUAGUUAUUUCAUUAAGGUCUGUUGAAAGCUUUAGUUACUGUUGGAAUGUUUGAAACCAUUUACAAACCAUCGCGCAAGUCUCAGAUGGUUUGAGCAGAGGAGGGAUACUGGAUAUAGAGCUACUAGCUGACAACACUGAGAAGAUUCAUGGAUGUAGUGAAAGAGGACAUCCACUGGGUUGAUGUAUCAGAAAAGGAUACUAGGAAUAAGCAGACUGCCGAGGCCCAAGAAGAUGCACCAAAGCCAUUGCUCAAGGGUUAGAUCCACACAGCUAAAAGGGUUACCUGUGUGACGAAGGUUCCAAAGAUGAUGGAGCAGAAGAUGGGGUUUCUGAAGACACCCUCAAAAACGUUUCUCUCUCCAUGGAUUUUUCGGGCAUUGAACUCAUUGAAGAUCUGCAUGAGGACAAAAG